GAGUGGCGAACGGGUGAGUAACACGUGGGUAACCUGCCCAGAAGUAGGGGAUAACACCUGGAAACAGAUGCUAAUACCGUAUAACAGAGAAAACCGCAUGGUUUUCUUUUAAAAGAUGGCUCUGCUAUCACUUCUGGAUGGACCCGCGGCGUAUUAGCUAGUUGGUGAGGUAAAGGCUCCCAAGGCAGUGAUACGUAGCCGACCUGAGAGGGUAAUCGGCCACAUUGGGACUGAGACACGG
rnacentral:rRNA from 1 species